rnacentral:rRNA from 1 species
AACGAACGCUGGCGGCGCGCCUAAUACAUGCAAGUCGAGCGAGAAGACGUAGCAAUACGUUUGUAAAGCGGCGAACGGGUGAGGAAUACAUGGGUAACCUACCCUCGAGUGGGGAAUAACUAGCCGAAAGGUUAGCUAAUACCGCGUACGCUCCUUGGACUUCGGUUCAGGGAGGAAAGCGAUACCGUGGGCAUCGCGCUCUUGGAUGGGCUCAUGUCCUAUCAGCUUGUUGGGAGGUAACGGCUCACCAAGGCUUCGACGGGUAGCUGGUCUGAGAGGACGAUCAGCCACACUGGCACUGCGACACGGGCCAGACUCCUACGGGAGGCAGCAGUAAGGAAUAUUGCGCAAUGGGCGAAAGCCUGACGCAGCGACGCCGCGUGGGGGA